rnacentral:rRNA from 1 species
UACGUAGGGCGCAAGCGUUGUCCGGAAUUAUUGGGCGUAAAGAGCUCGUAGGCGGUUUGUCGCGUCUGCUGUGAAAACCUAAGGCUCAACCUUGGGCUUGCAGUGGGUACGGGCAGACUAGAGUGCGGUAGGGGUGACUGGAAUUCCUGGUGUAGCGGUGGAAUGCGCAGAUAUCAGGAGGAACACCGGUGGCGAAGGCGGGUCUCUGGGCAACAACUGACGCUGGAGGAAGCGAAAGCCGUGGGGAGCGAACAGG